rnacentral:rRNA from 1 species
AUAGCGUAUAUUAAAGUUGUUGCAGUUAAAAAGCUCGUAGUUGAAUUUUAGGCCUGGUUGGACGGUCUGCUCUAGGGUUUGUACUGUCCUGACCGGGUCUUACCUUCUGGUGAGCUGUCGUAUUGUUUACUCAGUGCGGCAGGGAACCAGGACUUUUACUUUGAAAAAAUUAGAGUGUUUAAAGCAGGCAUUCGCUUGAAUACAUUAGCAUGGAAUAAUAGAAUAGGACUUUGGUUCUAUUUUGUUGGUUUCUAGGACCGAAGUAAUGAUUAAUAGGGAUAGUUGGGGGCAUUAGUAUUUAAUUGUCAGAGGUGAAAUUCUUGGAUUUAUUGAAGACUAACUACUG